UGAAAUCUUGACAGAACCCUUCGGGGUGAAGAUAAGAUGGAUUAGCGGCGGACGGGUGAGUAACACGUGAGUAACCUGCCUUAGACAUUGGGAUAGCCUCGGGAAACCGGGAUUAAUACCAAAUGAAAUCACAUAUGCACAUGCAUAAAUGAUCAAAGCUCCGGCGGUCUAAGAUGGACUCGCGUCCCAUUAGCUAGUUGGUGAGGUAACGGCCCACCAAGGCGACGAUGGGUAGCCGGCCUGAGAGGGUGAACGGCCACAUUGGAACUGAGACACGGUCCAAACUCCUACGGGAGGCAGCAGUGGGGAAUAUUGCACAAUGGGGGAAACUCUGAUGCAGCGACGCCGCGUGAUUUAGAAGGCCUUCGGGUUGUAAAAAUCUUUUCUAUGGGAAGAAAAUGACAGUACCAUAGGAAUAAGGACCGGCUAAUUACGUGCCAGCAGCCGCGGUAAUACGUAAGGUCCGAGCGUUGUCCGGAAUCAUUGGGCGUAAAGGGUACGUAGGCGGGUAAGCAAGUUAGAAGUGAAAUCCUAUAGCUCAACUAUAGUAAGCUUUUAAAACUGCUCAUCUUGAGGUAUGGAAGGGAAAGUGGAAUUCCUAGUGUAGCGGUGAAAUGCGCAGAUAUUAGGAGGAAUACCGGUGGCGAAGGCGACUUUCUGGCCAUAACCUGACGCUGAGGUACGAAAGCGUGGGUAGCAAACAGGAUUAGAUACCCUGGUAGUCCACGCUGUAAACGAUGAGUGCUAGGUAUCGGAAAAAUUCGGUGCCGCAGUUAACACAUUAAGCACUCCGCCUGGGGAGUACGUGCCAAGCA
rnacentral:rRNA from 1 species